UAUAUCACAUUUGGGUACAAUCAGAUUCCCUUGACUGACAUACAACUAUUUCAUUGGUCUUUCCCCGAAUUUUUACCUAUUCAUCUGUGCUUAUGUUUAAAGAUCGAGUAUCCAUCUGCUGUAACAUCAAGGAAAUUGCACAUGUAUCUUUCUCUCUACUCUUUUCACAAAAUUGGUUGCUUCAAACAUAAAAAUUGUUGGCAAUACAUAUAUAAUGAUUAUAUUUUUUCCAAAUAAUGAACUCACAUGUCAGCAUACAUAUCUUGGCACUCAUUAUUUAUCCAAGAAUUUGGUGGCAUGGAUCCACUCUGGCAACAAACAGAUGCAUGGUAGGAGAAAAAUGCGAAGAGAAAAAACACGGGGCAACACAGACCUUGCCUCCUCCCUGGCCCGGCUCCCUGUCGCGAGCCUCCUUCCCCUCCUGCGCAGCUCCACCCCAUCGCAACUGGAGCGUUGCCCCGUGCUCCAACCACCGGAUGGCCAGUGAAGCUAGUUGUGCUGAGGGAGAGAGACCAUCAAUGAAGGUUUGAAGAGGAAAAACUGAGAGAAUAGAUAUGGGGAGAGGGAUCUCACCAUCUCCAGCUUCCUCGGCCUCGAGCACCUCCAUCCGGUCUCCUUCCCCAUCUCGGCCUCUAGCUCGAGCUCCGACCCACCAACGCCAGAUUCGACCCAGAAGCAGCAACGGUGGUGGAGGGGAGUAGCAGGCAGCGGUGGUGACGACCGAGGAUGAGGGAGGGGCUGUGGGGAACGAAGCGUGCGCAGCACCCCAGCAGCGGUAUGGCGCC
rnacentral:rRNA from 1 species